GCAUUCAACUGAAAUGUGUCUUCUGCAUUUAACCCAACCCCUCUGAAUCAGAGAGGUGCGGGGCUGCCACAAUCAGAGUGGGAAGACGGAGAAAUAUGGGUGAUCGAUAUUUAGGCCUAUUUCUAGGCAAUGUAGUAAACUAUAACCUAACCAUUGGCCUAUUUAGGAAGUACAUUUCCUUGGAAAGGAGGAUCAGGUGGUGACAGGGGUCUCUGCAGGGUCAGGCAGCCAGGGAAGACCAGUCUGUGAUGGAGGUCUGUUUAGUUUGCUAGUGCCUCUGGGCACAUGGAGGGAUGAGGCAGGGAGGGAGAGCAGCCUGGAGCCCCUGCCUGCCAGGAGCUCCCCUGCCUGGCUCGGGGGAAGGUUGGGCUGGAUUAGACGGCUGACAGCUGGGCCAGAUCUCUGGAGGCGCCGGGUGGAAAGGCCCCCUGUCUGACUGCCGCUGCACCAAGUGUCAAUUUGAGCAUGAAGGAAGGUGCAGGGAGCAGGUGAAUAGAGGGAUGGAGGGAGUGAGCGAGCGAGAGAACAGGGGCCACUGGUAGUCCUCUGUGGAUUGACAUCAUUGGUGCAUGGGCCGUGCACACCGUUAGGCAUCGAGAAACACACUGUUUAUUUAGGAGGAGCUUCCGACUUGGGAGCACAAACGUGCACACACGGAUGGAGGACGCGCGCGCGCAGACACACAUGGAUAGACAGACAGAGACAAAGCCCACUUACAAGGGUUGAGCUCUGCCCUCUUCUAUAUGUAAGUCUUGUUGUCGGUAGAAGUGAGUAGGGGAGAAAGUCUAACUUGCAUAGUGACAGCAUGUACUUACAUUACCUUGUUGUUUAAGUAACACACCCACAUAUUUUAGAUAUCGGCAGGUAGCCACUGGUUUGAAUACCUGAGUCAACAAGUUGAAAAAUCUUUCGAUGUGCCCUUGAACAAGGUAAAUAACCCUAAUUUGGUCCAGGGGAACUGUACUACUAUGGCUGACACUGUAAAAUAAAACAUAUCUUUAUAUUUAGGAAACAACAGCUUAAAUAAUGCCUGGAACUCUUCUUGGGAACCCACAGCUUUUCUAUAAUGGAAAUAUAACCCACCUCAGGCAGCAUCCUAUACAAUUAAGUGCAAUCAAGAUUACAG
ensembl:lncRNA